rnacentral:rRNA from 1 species
AGGACGAACGCUGGCGGCGUGCUUAUCACAUGCAAGUGGAGCGACGAACCAGGGCUUGCCCUGGGGCAGAGCCGCGAACGGGUGAGUAACACGUGGGUAACGUGCCCCGAUGACUGGGACAACCCGGGGAAACCCGGGCUAAUACCGGAUAUGCCCCCUCACGCGAGUGAGGUGUGUAAAGGAAGCUUCGGCCUCCGCAUCGGGAUCGGCCCGCGGCCCAUUAGCUUGUUGGUGAGGUAACGGCUCACCAAAGGCUGCGAUGGGUAGCUGGUCUGAGAGGACGAUCAGCCACACUGGGACUGAGACACGGCCCAGACUCCUACGGGAGGCAGCAGUGGGGAAUCUUGCGCAAUGCGCGAAAAGCGUGACGCAGCAACGCCGCGUGGGGGAAAGAAGGCCUCGGUUGUAACCC